ACGAACGCUGGCGGCGUGCUUAACACAUGCAAGUCGAACGGAAAGGCCCUGCUUUUGUGGGGUGCUCGAGUGGCGAACGGGUGAGUAACACGUGAGUAACCUGCCCUUGACUUUGGGAUAACUUCAGGAAACUGGGGCUAAUACCGGAUAGGAGCUCCUGCUGCAUGGUGGGGGUUGGAAAGUUUCGGCGGUUGGGGAUGGACUCGCGGCUUAUCAGCUUGUUGGUGGGGUAGUGGCUUACCAAGGCUUUGACGGGUAGCCGGCCUGAGAGGGUGACCGGCCACAUUGGGACUGAGAGACGGCCCAGACGCCUACGGGAGGCAGCAGUGGGGAAUAUUGCACAAUGGGCGGAAGCCUGAUGCAGCAACGCCGCGUGCGGGAAGACGGCCUUCGGGUUGUAAACCGCUUUCGCCUGUGACGAAGCGUGAGUGACGGUAAUGGGUAAAGAAGCACCGGCUAACUACGUG
rnacentral:rRNA from 1 species